rnacentral:rRNA from 1 species
UGAGUAACACGUAUCCAACCUGCCGUCUACUCUUGGACAGCCUUCUGAAAGGAAAGAUUAAUACAAGAUGGCAUCAUGAGUCCGCAUGUUCACAUGAUUAAAGGUAUUCCGGUAGACGAUGGGGAUGCGUUCCAUUAGAUAGUAGGCGGGGUAACGGCCCACCUAGUCUACGAUGGAUAGGGGUUCUGAGAGGAAGGUCCCCCACAUUGGAACUGAGACACGGUCCAA